UGGGGAAUUUUGGACAAUGGGCGAAAGCCUGAUCCAGCAAUGCCGCGUGUGUGAAGAAGGCCUUCGGGUUGUAAAGCACUUUUGUCCGGAAAGAAAUCCUUGGCUCUAAUACAGUCGGGGGAUGACGGUACCGGAAGAAUAAGCACCGGCUAACUACGUGCCAGCAGCCGCGGUAAUACGUAGGGUGCAAGCGUUAAUCGGAAUUACUGGGCGUAAAGCGUGCGCAGGCGGUUUGCUAAGACCGAUGUGAAAUCCCCGGGCUCAACCUGGGAACUGCAUUGGUGACUGGCAGGCUAGAGUAUGGCAGAGGGGGGUAGAAUUCCACGUGUAGCAGUGAAAUGCGUAGAGAUGUGGAGGAAUACCGAUGGCGAAGGCAGCCCCCUGGGCCAAUACUGACGCUCAUGCACGAAAGCGUGGGGGAGCAAACAGGAUUAGAUACCCUGGUAGUCCACGCCCUAAACGAUGUCAACUAGUUGUUGGGGACUUCAUUUUCCUUAGUAACGUAGCUAACGCGUGAAGUUGACCGCCUGGGGAGUACGGUCGCAAGAUUAAAACUCAAAGGAAUUGACGGGGU
rnacentral:rRNA from 1 species